AGCAUAUCUGAUUUCUUUACUAGAGUUGCAAAACUAGUGAAUCAAAUCAAGGCACGUGGAGAAAUAUUAACAACAAGAGUUGUUGUUUCGAAGAUCUUUAGAUCUUUAGCUCCUAAGUUCGACCAUAUAGUGGUGGCGAUAGAAGAAGGGAAAGACUUGUCGAAGGUGACAAAGGAAGAACUUCAAGGGACGCUUGAAUCUCACGAACAAAGAAUGAUUGAAAGAGCUGCAUACAAAUCGAAGAGUGAUGUGACCUUGCAGGCACAUUCAACAAAAGAGAUCAAAGACAAAGGAAAGUUUUCUGACAGAGGUAGAGAUGGCUACAACAAAUCAAAUGGUAGAGGAAACCAGAUCUAA